rnacentral:rRNA from 1 species
UACGUAGGGGGCAAGCGUUGUCCGGAUUUAUUGGGCGUAAAGAGCGUGUAGGCGGCCAUACAGGUCAGCUGUGAAAACUCGAGGCUCAACCUCGAGACGUCGGUUGAAACCGUAUGGCUAGAGUCCGGAAGAGGAGAGUGGAAUUCCCGGUGUAGCGGUGAAAUGCGUAGAUAUCAGGAGGAACACCGGUGGUGUAAACGGCUUUCUGGACCAUAACUGACGCUGAGGCACGAAAGCGUGGGUAGCAAACAGG